rnacentral:tRNA from 1 species
UCCGAAUUGGUGUAGUGGCUAACAUUUGACGCUCUCAUGCCAGAACCGUCAAGCCCGGGGUUCGAUUCCCCGAUUCGGAG